ACAACCUGUGAGAGACAAGUAUUUACUCUGGAAUCACCACUGGAGCAACCCAACACCCACUAUAUCUGAGGGGAACAGCUGCUACUGCGCACUUAACAGGGUAAUGGAUCAGGGACCCAGAAGUUAAAACUUUCACAUGAGGGAGGGGAACCCCCCAAAGACACCUUAUUUGUGGGGAUGGGGGUCAAACAUUUCUUACCUACAGAGCAAAAGGGGUUAAACUUUCUCUUGGCAUCAGAAAAUGGGAGUCUAAGAGGAAACAGCUACAGAACUGAGUCAUGCUGGGAGCCCAGCUCGGGGCCCCAUGGUCUCAGAGAUCUCAAAUGAGUUCCAGAGGAGGGAGGGGACAGUCCCUCUUUAUACAGUCUUGAGGAGAUCCCAAUACUGCACUCAGCUCUGAGCCCCUUAAUCCCAGAGAGGUAGCGACAAACUGAGGGAGCUCAGAGAAGAGCCACAGAAAUGCUCAGGGGGCUGGAGGGAUCAAGUUCUGAGGAGAAAUUCAGUGAGCUAAAUCUGCCAGGCUUGGCCAGGCCAGGCAUAAAGGAUGGGGGCGAAACAGGGUGGGACAUGAGACCCAUCUGCAAGUGUCUGAGAAGCAUGAAUCCUGAGAGAGAGGAGAAUGGGGCAAGAUGAAGCCUGGGGAUAGGAACUCAGAAUCUAUUCCUCACUCGUCAGGGGGUCUGUGAAACUGAGCCCUGGUCUACACUACGAGUUUAGGUCGAAUUUAGCAGCGUUACAUCGAUUUAACCCUGUACCCGUCCACACAACGAAGCCAUUUUUGUCGACUUAAUGGGCUCUUCAAAUCGAUUUGUGUACUCCUCCCCAACGAGGGGAUUAGCGCUGAAAUCAACAUCACCGGGUCAAAUUUGGGUGAGUGUGGACGCAAUUCGAUGGUAUUGGCCUCCGGGAGCUAUCCCACAGUGCUCCAUUGUGACCGCUCCAGACAACACUCUCAACUCGGAUGCACUGGCUAGGUGGACAGGAAAAGCCCUGCGAACUUCUGAAUUUCAUUUCCUGUUUGGCCAGCGUGGCAAACUGAUCAGCGCAGGUGACCAUGGAGUCCCAGAAUCACAAAAGAGCUCCAGCAUAGACCAAACGGGAGGUACUGGAUCUGAUCACUGUAUGCGGAGACGAAUCCGUGCUAUCAGAACUCCGUUCCAAAAGACGAAAUACCAAAAUAUUUGAAAAAAUCUCCAAGGGCAUGAAGGACAAAUGCUAUAACAGGGACCCGCACCAGUGCCGCGUGAAACUUAAGGAGCUUAGGCAAGCCUACCAAAAAACCCAAGAGGCAAACGCCCACUCGGGGUCAGAGCCCCAGACAUGCCACUUCUAUGAUGAGCUGCAUGCCAUUCUAGGAGGUGCCCCUACAACUACCCCACAACUGUACGUGGACUCCUGCAAGGGAGUCUCACGCAACAGGGAUGAGGAUUGUGGGGAUGAGGAAGAUGAGGAGGAUGGGGAGGUUGAAGACAGCGCACACCAGGCAAGCGGAGAAACCAUUCUCUCCAACAGCCAGGAACUGUUUAUCACCCUGGAGACAGUACACUCCCAACCCAGGCUCCCAGACCUUGAAGGCAGAGAAGGCACCUCUGCUGCAAAUGUUUCAACGCUGCGACUAGCAUCUCCGUCCCAGAGGCUAGUGCAGAUAAGAAGGUGGAAAAAAACGCACUCGUGAUGAAAUGUUCUCUGAGCUCAUGCAGUCCAAACUGAAAGAGCCCAGCAAAAUGCGUGGAGGCAGACAAUGGCAGAGUCCAGCAAAGCACAAAAUGAACGCAAGGACAGGAGGGACGCACGAGAGGACAAGUGGCGGGAGCAACAGGAGAGGUGGCAGGAUCAAGAGGAA